CGGCGACGCUACUGCUUUGGGUACUCUUAGGACCCGUCUUGAAACACGGACCAAGGAGUCUAACAUGUACGCGAGUCAUUGGGACUUGUAAUGGUAUACCUAAAGGCGAAAUGAAAGUGAAGGUCGGCCCUGGUUGUCGACCGAGGGAGGAUGGGCCGCGUCGCGAUGCGGCUCCGCACUCCCGUGGCGUCUCGUUCUCAUCGCGAGAAGAGGCGCACCCAGAGCGUACACGUUGGGACCCGAAAGAUGGUGAACUAUGGCUGGUCAGGAUCUCAACAAAGUUAGGGGAAAUCCUGAUGGAGGUCCGUAGCGAUUCUGACGUGCAAAUCGAUCGUCGGUACUGGGUAUAGGGGCGAAAGACUAAUCGAACCAUCUAGUAGCUGGUUCCCUCCGAAGUUUCCCUCAGGAUAGCUGGCACUCGACCGUUCCCGCACGGAACGCGAACGAGUCUCAUCUGGUAAAGCGAAUGAUUAGAAGCCUUGGGGCCGAAACGACCUCAACCUAUUCUCAAACUUUAAAUGGGUGAGAUCUCUGGCUUUCUUGAAACUUGAAGCCACGAGCAUCUUAAUCUCGGAUCAGAGUGCCAAGUGGGCCAUUUGUGGUAAGCAGAACUGGCGGCUGUGGGAUGAACCAAACGCAGAGUUAAGGCGCCCAACUCGACGCUCAUGGGACACC
rnacentral:ncRNA from 1 species